rnacentral:tRNA from 1 species
GCCUGAAUGGCUCAGUCGGUGGAGCAUGUGACUCUUGAACUUGGGGUGGUGAGUUCAAGCCCCAUCUUGGGCA